rnacentral:rRNA from 1 species
GACGGAGGAUGCAAGUGUUAUCCGGAAUCACUGGGCGUAAAGCGUCUGUAGGUGGUCAAAUAAGUCAACUGUUAAAUCUUGAGGCUCAACCUCAAAACCGCAGUCGAAACUAUUAGACUAGAGUAUAGUAGGGGUAAAGGGAAUUUCCAGUGGAGCGGUGAAAUGCGUAGAGAUUGGAAAGAACACCGAUGGCGAAGGCACUUUACUGGGCUAUGACUAACACUCAGGAGACGAAAGCUAGGGUAGCAAAUGGG